rnacentral:lncRNA from 1 species
AGAGACUGGCGCUGCCCCGGGGCGCUCCGGAGGCUCCCAGUGCGCAGCUGCUGCGGGACGCCGCAGAGAGCGCCUGGGGCCGACCGCCGAGUGUGAGACGCGUACCCGGAUUGGAUGCCCGAGCCCGCGGUGAAUGGGACUCCCUUACCCAUUGGUUCAUUUAACGGUACCACUCGGAGACAGGUAGAAUGGAGCUGGACAGAGAGGUUUGCCUUUCCCACCCUCUCACCCGCCCUGGCUGCCCUUUUCUUAUUACUCUGUUGUGGGUCCCUUGUUUUAGGCAGAAGACGAAGAAGUUCCUUUUGCCUUCACCUGCACAAGGAAAGACACUCUGAAACAACCAGUUCAUUUUUUUUUUCUGGUCAUGUUUCUGCCUUUUAAAAUUCCCUUUCUGUUUUAAAAUCAUCCUCUGGUCAUCUCACGCGCACAUUCCUUCUAUUUAGAAUAAGGUGUUGUCUGUUUCUACAGUCCCAAAUAAAAGUCUGUUGGGGUCCUCAAA